CAGCAUUAGGGAACCGGAGCCUGAGAGUGGCAAUGCUGUGGAGAAACCAGCAAGGGCAUUAACUUCCCCUGGGGAAAAUGUGUACAAUCGUAUCAACAAAUCCAUGGAGAUAUGACAAUCACCAGAGAUGCGGUGGGAAUAUUAUGUUGCAUCUGCUUCUGACUGCUUCCCAAGCCUUGAUUAUGACACAGAGGAGAAGACAACUUAGCCAUAGUGCCUGGCAAGGCACUGCGUCAGGUCCUGAAGGUACAAGAGUGAACAAGACUGAUAUAUUCCUUCUCCUCAUGAGAAGCAGAUGUGAAACAAAGAAUCCUGGAGGUCAGAAGUCCAAAAUCAAGAAGUUGGCCAGGUUGUGCUCCCCACGAAGGCUCAAGAACACCAGUCAUUGGACUUAAAGCCCCCCCCCAAAUCCAGGAUGAUCUCAUCUCACGAUCCUUAACUUAAUGACAUCUGCAAAGAUCUUAUUUCCAAAUAAGGUCACAUUCACAGACAUCAGAGCUCCUGGUUCUCGUGCCUUUGGACUCCAGACUAAUACCAGUGGCCCUCCCAGUUCUCAGUCCUUCAGCAUUGGACUGAACGAUACCACCAGCUUUCCUGGUUCUCCAGCUUGCAGAUGGCAGACUGUGGGACUUUGUGGCCUCCACAACCAGGUUCUUCUGGCUGGUCUAAGAAUUCAAUUGACUUGAGACAGAUUAACAGGAGAAAAACCAAAGAAAGCUUAGUAACAUGUAUACAUGGGAGAAACCCAGGAAAACCAAGUAACUCACCAAAAUGGCUGCAGCCCUCAACUUAAAUACCAUCCUCAGCUAAAGACAAAAUAGGAUGCUGGGGGUAAGAAGAGUCAGGGACUUCAAGGGAAGGAAGGCAAAUCACAGCCCUCAGGCAUGCUUCAGUGGAAGAUUUGGGAGAAAUUAUAAUGGUCCCAGCCAAGAAUUUUUAUUAAAAAAGUUUUAAAAAGGGCCAGAAGACUUUCCCCCUUUGAAGCAGAGGAAAACCAACCACUGCAGCCCCCUGUGCCUCCCACCAUCGCCAUCAUCGCCACCACUACCUCUCAGCCUUCUAGUGUGUUCACUGGCUUUCUGAUUCUGGCAUCUUCUUGGAACUUCCUUGCCCCUUGUAACUGCUAAUGGACCUGCGCAGCGACCACGGCCUGAGAAAGGUAUGAUUACCAAGAGAUCAGAUGCCUCAGCAAUGGAAGCUUGAGCCACACCACCAGGUAAGCCAUUGAGUCCUGCCAAGGCGAGGGCUGAGGGUGAGGGGUAAUUUAGAAUGGACGGUGGAGGAGGAAGAGGAUGAGGUCCAGGUGUGGUCCUGAGAUCAAAUGCAGCACCAAGGGCUGUGCUUUAUCCUACUAACUUCCCUUUUUUGAGUUUUUGCCUCAGGAAGAAAGUCCUGUGGGAACCGUGGAGAAGGUGCUCCUCCAACUUCGGUGGAGAUGUAGAUUUGUGCAGCGCCAACAGGAGCAUGUGGUGGCCAUGAAAGUGCAUCUCUCGGAUUUCCUACUUCAGGGAGUAUAGUUGACCCACAGAUCAGCUGCUGUGCUCUGAAAUCUAUCACCACAUUCGCACUGAGGUGGUGCUUUUCCUAGGUUGCUCCCAGCAAAUGACUGAGUGUAGCAGGGAUACUUAGCAGGCCCGUACCUGUAACAUGCUGGCCUCCUCUGAAGGGCCACUUUGCCUCAGGACUGCCCAGAGGCCUGGCUGAAACUUUCUUAGAACUGUGCUGAAGUCUAAGAAGUAACUCCUGACUCUCUUAUUCCCUUCUUCGCUCCCUCCCUAGUUUCUGCUUUCUUCUCUUUCACAUGGGGCAGAACUACAUCAUGGUCUGAUGGCUCCUCCACCAGUUCCUUCUCCAUCUUCCCUCACUGGGAUUUCCUCUAAUAAAUCUCUUGCACAUCUAA
ensembl:lncRNA